rnacentral:rRNA from 1 species
AAUUUUGGACAAUGGGGGAAACCCUGAUCCAGCCAUCCCGCGUGUAUGAUGAAGGCCUUCGGGUUGUAAAGUACUUUUGGCAGAGAAGAAAAGGUACCUCCUAAUACGAGGUACUGCUGACGGUAUCUGCAGAAUAAGCACCGGCUAACUGCGUGCCAGCAGCCGCGGUAAUACGUAGGGUGCAAGCGUUAAUCGGAAUUACUGGGCGUAAAGCGUUGUUUAGCCGUUCAGAAAGAAAGGUGUUAAAUCCCCGGGCUCAACCUUGGGACUGCCUUUUUAAAUGGCGGGGUAGGGUAAUGCAGAAGGGGGUAGGAUUCCACGGGGAGCAGGGGAAGGCGUUGGUAUUGGGAAGAAUACCGAUGGGGGAAGCAACCCCCUGGGAAAAUAAUGACGCUUAAACACCAAAGGGUUGGGAGCAAACA